AACGAACGCUGGCGGCAGGCUUAACACAUGCAAGUCGAGCGCCCCGCAAGGGGAGCGGCAGACGGGUGAGUAACGCGUGGGAACGUACCCUUUGCUACGGAAUAGCUCCGGGAAACUGGAAUUAAUACCGCAUGUGCCCUACGGGGGAAGGAUUUAUCGGCAAAGGAUCGGCCCUCAUUGGAUUAGGUAGUUGGUGGGGUAAUGGCCUACCAAAGAGACGAUCCAUAGCUGGUCUGAGAGGACGAUCAGCCACAUUGGGACUGAGACACGGCCCAAACUCCUACGGGAGGCAGCAGUGGGGAAUAUUGGGCAAUGGGCGCAAGCCUGAUCCAGCCAUGCCGCGUGAGUGAUGAAGGCCUUAGGGUUGUAAAGCUCUUUCACCGGAGAAGAUAAUGACGGUAUCCGGAGAAGAAGCCCCGGCUAACUUCGUGCCAGCAGCCGCCGUAACAC
rnacentral:rRNA from 1 species